rfam:Ictidomys tridecemlineatus contig030680, whole genome shotgun sequence.
GGGAUUGUAGCUCAGUGGUAGAGCACUUGCCUAGAAUGUGUGAGGCACUGGGUUUGAUUCUCAGCACUGACA